GAUACGGGUCUGAGGAGCGGUCAAACACAAUAUCCUUAGAUUCAUGGGUUAUAUAUGCACCUCGAAUCACUCAGGUAAAAAGUUCACAAUUUAUCUUGUCUAAAUAUUUAUACUUUAAUUUUCAUAGCAUUUAUCAUACAAAAAUAAAAAUAAAUAUUCUUGUUCUUAGAAUUUUAAUCUCAUUAUCUUUUUUAUUUCAAUUUAUUACUAAAAAAUCACUGAUUUUAUUAUGUGAGUAUCUCUAAAUCCUAUUAAAAAAGAUUAUUUUCAAUUAUUGAAUUUUUUGAAAUCAACCAUCAUGAAUGAAAAAAAAAUUUAACAUGAACAUAUAAUUAAUUAUUAUUCAAACACUAAAUUACCAUAUUAGGUUUUGAAACAUAAUUAGCAUGCAACUUUCAUAUGCGAUCCAUCCAUGCUACGAGAUUCGUUGAGAUAUUUUGGUUUAAUAGGGAUUCUUUAAGCACAUGGUAAUUAGAAGAUUCACUUUUUGUUCCCCCUCAAUUAAAUUAAUGGACAGGUGUGGGAUAGUUGGCCAUCCAGCAUCAUCCAAGGCACAAGUACAAGAAGAUAUUUCCUACCUUAGCUGACAAGUGGUUCGAUUUACAAGAGAACACGUUAUGGGGGCUAACGUGUCAGUAAACGCUCGGGAGGAUGAUGGAACGAUGGAGAAAAGGG
rnacentral:lncRNA from 1 species